rnacentral:lncRNA from 1 species
AUGGAGGACAAUCAAAUUAGUGCCAUACUUCUGGAAAAUUUUACUUUGCUCUUUAAAUUUAUUAAACCAAGUAAAGAGCUUCAAACCUUGAUGAAAGUAGAAAUGUUCGAUAAACCUAACAAAAUUGCCAUGCUGCAAGCGUUGCACUAUUUAUUGCCAAUUUUUAAGCCAGCCGUUUUUAAAUCCAGAGAAAUUCAUUGGCCCCUGGACAAUGCAAAGGAUGAGGCAGACUUUCGCUCUGGUGCCGUCAAAGUUCUAACGAAAUUCAAUUCGGGAAAACAACUAUUCAAGAUCCCGAAAACCAUUAAUUUCAUUUUGUCCUCUGCAAAAGGGGUUAAAGCAGUGGAUUUCUUGUUAGGCUUAACCACAGCUGCAUUGACUUUGACCCUUCAGAAAAACAGUAAAAGUAAGUAGUUGAAUGAAUUUCCAAAGAGUCACCAACAGAGGAACGAUUCAGAACAUCCUCUGGCUGGAGUAUAGGUAGAUUAGGUUUUUUUCCCAUUCAUUAAUCAUUCAUUAGUUCUUAGUUCAAUGAUUCAUAAGGUAGUCAAAAGUUCAUCAAUGAUAGACACAAAAAUAUUUAUCUCUCCAAGCACUAAAGAAUUUGAACACGUGGAGCUAGCUCAAGUGGGUUUGGCCUGCAAACAAUUGUUUUAACUAUCAUAUCACUAUAUCAACCACAUCACAACACGAAAUCACAGUUCGUCUCUUGCUCCUCUGACAAAGUGUUUAUGUCAGUUAGCCGGGCACCCAUGUACCAAAAGUUAUCAAUAGCACAUCAAAAUGUUGAUGCAGCACUGCAUAGGAGUCAUAAAUUCAGUACAUGGAAAGUGCUUAUUAGAGGCACCAGCCCCCCAUUCCUAAUAUGACUGUUCAUACUCUAUGUAUACUCAUCAACAACCCUACCUUGAGCUGUCACGUAUUCUUUCAUAAUGAACUCUAAUUUUGCCACCAAGCAGAACAGAAUAAAGCAAAAAUCUGUCAUCAUUCCAGAAGUGUUUACACCAUGUUCUCAAAAAAAAAGAAAAAAAUUGAAAAAAUGACAGGACAGGGCACUCCUUUUUUUAAACAUCUCAGCCUUUGUGCUGUGGGUUCUAUAGAAGUCAAGUUUCAGGUUGGUAAAUGUAUGGCUGCUUCAGUCACGGAACACUGAGAAAACUAGGAAAUGUCAGGGAAGAUUUGUCAAGUCACCCUCAUUUUUUUUUCUAGGAUGGUCUUGACAUUUUGUACAACAGGUUUUGCGUGAAAACUAUUUCAAAUUGUACCUUUUUAAUCAUCUGGCAUAUCUGCAAUUGUCAGGUAAUUUUUCCAAAAUGUGACAGGAAAAUCAGGGAAGUUCAUUUUCUUAAUUCUGUGGUAACCCUUUAAAUGUUAUUAAUUAGCCACCUUACCUCUUUGUACAGGUGCAGCAGACAUUUGUAAUAACUCAAAACCUUAG